ACGACGCUGGCGGCGCGCCUAACACAUGCAAGUCGAACGGGGAUAGAUUGAAGGUUUACCUGAUAUCUAUUCUAGUGGCGGACGGGCGAGUAACGCGUGGGCAAUCUGCCUUGUACUGGGGGAUAACGUCGAGAAAUCGGCGCUAAUACCGCAUAAUACUAUUAGAUCGCAUGGUCAUAUAGUCAAAACUCCGGUGGUACAAGAUGAGCUCGCGUCCAAUUAGCUAGUUGGUGGGGUAAUGGCCCACCAAGGCGACGAUUGGUAGCCGAACUGAGAGGUUGAUCGGCCACAUUGGGACUGAGACACGGCCCAGACUCCUACGGGAGGCAGCAGUGGGGAAUAUUGCGCAAUGGAGGGAAACCUCUGACGCAGCAACGCCGCGUGAAGGAUGAAGGUUUUCGGAUCGUAAACCUCUGUCCUUGGGGAAGAUAAUGACGGUACCCAAGGAGGAAGCCACGGCUAACUACGUGCCAGCCGCUGC
rnacentral:rRNA from 1 species